AGAGGACAAGGAAAAGAAAUGGGUACAAAGAGGACAAAAGCUGUAUUUCUCACAUGCAAACAGGUUUUUCUGUGGAGAAGGACAUUCUAAUUCCCAAGAAGUCAAUUAACAAUGGACUCUCAAAGAUCUUCACAAAAAGGCUCAGGGUAGCCCUACUAUCUGGUAAAGCGGUUUAACACCUACUGUAAAGACGUCUAGGGAAAUGGGAUACUAGCAACCAAGACAAGUUUGAGGACACGUAUUUGUCCGCAUCACCACGGGCAGUUCCACUCUGCUUCCAGAGGAGGUUCCAUGCUCUUUCCUUCUAUGAAAGGACCUUUCUCUCUUGCUUCUCAUGAAUCUAGGGAGAUACACAUUCUUAGUGUACAAGAUCAGGUUUGACUUAUGUAUUCCCUUUGCUGUCUCAAACAAUAAACCAAAAAAAAAGUUUUGUUGAAAAAUUAUUUUCUCAAAUAAAAGAAAACUGUAAUGAGUACUUUUCAUUAAUUUCUUCUCAUGGGGACAUUAUCAAAGAACUUGGGAGCUCCUAUAAUACUGUUAAUUCAUAAUUUAAUUCAAGUAAAGAAAACAUCCUUUUUUGGGAGUGGGAGAGUGAUCCUUUCACCUCCUAGUCAUUAUCAAAGAUGACAUAAUUAAUCUAAGGGUUUGAGCAGUUAACUGGGUAGUAAAGAAAACGUAAAGAGAGAAUUAUUUUGGGUACUGACAGCAGUAGCAACAACAUCGAAUUCAGGACCCUCAUUUAACAAAUACAUAUUUAG